UUCCCUAUCUUGGAUUUCUUUCACUCUCACUCUCGACACGGAAAGUACUCAUCAGGCGCGGAACGGUCGCGCACAUUGCAGGAGACGAUCUCGCUCCGAGUUCGGAAUGAAACCUUGACAUUUUCCUUUUAUCGAGUUAGUCUGCGCGAACGUGUGAAAGAUGGCCAUAUGGAAAGUGGUGGUCUCUUACCUCGUGGGUGACGUCCGAUUAUUUCACGAAAAUUCUGACAACGAUUCUCGCAAAACAAAUUGUGAAAAUAUAAAAAAGCGAAUCGGAUUAUUCGUGCAGCUAACUUCCAGAACAUUGCCGCGACAUGCGUACGUUCAUAAUGAAUUACUAAGCCGAUUCUGAACAUAUACCUCCUUUCGCUACAAGGGUACAACAUUACCAAAAUUGAGAUAAUUCAAAAUCAAAGCAUCAUUUAGCAUACAGCAUCAAAGAGUACAGAAAGAUCAUGAACAUGU